GAUGAACGCUAGCGGCAGGCCUAAUACAUGCAAGUCGAACGGUGAUAGUGAUAUCAUAGUGGCGCACGGGUGCGUAACACGUAUGCAACCUACCUUAUACUUAGGGAUAGCCUUUGGAAACGGAGAUUAAUACCUAAUAGUACAUUUGACUGGCAUAGGUUAACUGUUAAAGAUUUAUUGGUAUAAGAUGGGCAUGCGUCCAAUUAGUUAGUUGGUGAGGUAAUGGAUCACCAAGACGAUGAUUGGUAGGGGAACUGAGAGGUUAAUCCCCCACACUGGCACUGAGAUACGGGCCAGACUCCUACGGGAGGCAGCAGUAGGGAAUAUUGGGCAAUGGAGGGAACUCUGACCCAGCCAUGCCGCGUGCAGGAUGAAGGCGUUAUGCGUUGUAAACUGCUUUUAUAUAGGAAGAAAUAGUCCUUGCGAGGAAAGUUGACGGUACUAUAUGAAUAAGCACCGGCUAACUCCGUGCCAGCAGCCGCCGUAAGAC
rnacentral:rRNA from 1 species